AACGAACGCUGGCGGCAGGCCUAACACAUGCAAGUCGAACGAAGCCUUCGGGCUUAGUGGCGGACGGGUUAGUAACGCGUGGGAACGUGCCCUUCUCUACGGAAUAGUCCCGGGAAACUGGGUUUAAUACCGUAUACGCCCUUCGGGGGAAAGAUUUAUCGGGGAAGGAUCGGCCCGCGUCUGAUUAGAUAGUUGGUGGGGUAAUGGCCUACCAAGUCGACGAUCAGUAGCUGGUUUGAGAGGAUGAUCAGCAACACUGGGACUGAGACACGGCCCAGACUCCUACGGGAGGCAGCAGUGGGGAAUCUUAGACAAUGGGCGCAAGCCUGAUCUAGCCAUGCCGCGUGAGUGAUGAAGGCCUUAGGGUCGUAAAGCUCUUUCGCUGGGGAAGAUAAUGACUGUACCCAGUAAAGAAACCCCGGCUAACUCCGUG
rnacentral:rRNA from 1 species